ensembl:lncRNA
GGGGCUGUCGCGCUGUUUUCUGUUUAUUUUGUUAUUAAAGUUUUAUUUAAAUGUCCGCUGGUUCCCGCCUCCUUCUUCCCAACUUACGAACAGCGUUACACUGGUGCCGAAACCCAGGAGGAAGGAGGGACACGCUGUCAGAGAGCCCUUGCUGCUGAGGAGAUCGGGCAGCAGGAAGGCGUGGAGACCGCGAGUGGCUGCCCGAGGUGGUGGUGCUGGAAUGAUGGAAGACGAGGUGGGACGGAGCGCUCGCUGCCACGCUCCUGGGUCGAGGAGGGGUGGCUGCCGUCCAAGAGGGGGCUGAGGAGUCGGCCCCGUUCGCCAGGAGGCCGUAGCCUGCUGCCGUCCGCCAUGAUUGGGGAGGAGCUGGGAAUGGGGGACUCGCUACCGGCUGCCCUCGACAGGAGGAGCCGUCGCCGUCCACCAGGAGGCGGAGGAGCGUCCAUAGACAGUAGGGAGCGUCGGGCCGUCCACCAAAGAUGUCCAGUACCAUCGCAUGGCAACGCGAGUGAGAGCCUCUCAGCUCGUUGAGGACAAAGCGGCAGUGUGUCUGGGAACCGGAACAAUAAUUUUUUUUUCUCCUCUCUCCCCUCUCUCGUCGCUGUCGCUCCUGCAUCCUUCAGUCUCCUUUUCUCUUGCCUCGUCUGUCUGUCUGUAGAGCGCAGUCUCGGGAGUACUCCCCCGGCCUGCGAGGGGCAAUGGGGGUUUAUGACGAGUGGGGCGGGGCCGAGAGCCGUGGGAACGGAGCGAGGCUGGUGGAGUAAUUGGAAAUGAGUGACACCUGUGCCACUCACUGGUCUCCAGUCCCAUGGAGGAGCUCCGGAAGGAUAAAGGGAGGAGUUACGACAGUAAAGGACGAGAGAGGACCAGGCCUGGACUUUAUUUUGUGUUUUGGUUUUGUUCAGUCGUCCGUGAGGGGCUGUCGCACUGUUUUGUGUUUAUUUUGUUAUUAAAGUUUUAUUUAAAUGUCCGCCGGUUCCCGCCUCCUUCUUCCCAACUAACGAACAGCGUUACACACACCUAAUUCAGAUAAUCAGCUCGCUAGAAGUGAGCUCCUUGCAUGAACUGUUUUCCCAUUGACAUGGUCCCUACACAGUGUUCAUUGCUCCCUACUCCCUGAGCAGGGGAAAUCUGUUGAACUUUACCUCACUUCGGAACAUUCAUUCAUUCAUUUGCGCUGCCCAACGUCUUCACACACGGACAAGUGUGACAUCAUAUGCCUCUGUAAACAAAUACAAUUUAAAUUCACAUCUCGCACACUUCAAUACACUUUGAAUAAAACAUAUUUGUAUAUGCA